rnacentral:rRNA from 1 species
GACGAACGCUGGCGGCGUGCUUAACACAUGCAAGUCGAACGGAGUUGCGAACGGGUGAGUAACACGUGGGUGAUCUGCCUUCCACUCUGGGAUAAGCUUGGGAAACUGGGUCUAAUACCGGAUAGUGCAAGAUGAGAUCGCGGCCUAUCAGCUUGUUGGUUGGGUAAUGGCCUACCAAGGCGUCGACGGGUAGCCGGCCUGAGAGGGUGUAGUGCCACAUUGGGACUCAGAUACGUGCCAGAUGCCUACGGGAGGCAGCAGUGGGGAAUAGUGCACAAUGGGAGGAAGCCUGAUGCGGCGACGCCGCGUGGGGGAUGACGGCCUUCGGGUUGUAAACUCCUUUCGACAGGGACGCGGUACCUGUAUAAGAAGCGCCGGCUAACUACGUGCCAGCAGCCGCGGUAAUUC